rnacentral:rRNA from 1 species
UAACACGUAAACAACCUGCCUUCAGGAUGGGGACAACAGACGGAAACGACUGCUAAUACCGAAUAAGUUCCAAGAGCCGCAUGGCCCAUGGAAGAAAAGGUGGCCUCUACCUGUAAGCUAUCGCCUGAAGAGGGGUUUGCGUCUGAUUAGCUGGUUGGAGGGGUAACGGCCCACCAAGGCGACGAUCAGUAGCCGGUCUGAGAGGAUGAACGGCCACACUGGAACUGAGACACGGUCCAGACUCCUACGGGAGGCAGCAGUGGGGAAUCUUCCGCAAUGGGCGAAAGCCUGACGGAGCAACGCCGCGUGAGUGAUGACGGCCUUCGGGUUGUAAAANUNUUUGAUCCGGGACGAAAAGGCAGAGUGCGAAGAACAAACUGCAUUGACGGUACCGGAAAAGCAAGCCACGGCUAACUACGUGCCAGCAGCCGCGGUAAUACGUAGGUGGCAAGCGUUGUCCGGAAUUAUUGGGCGUAAAGCGCGCGCAGGCGGCUUCCCAAGUCCCUCUUAAAAGUGCGGGGCUUAACCCCGUGAUGGGAAGGAAACUGGGAAGCUGGAGUAUAGGAGAGGAGAGUGGAAUUCCUAGUGUAGCGGUGAAAUGCGUAGAGAUUAGGAAGAACACCGGUGGCGAAGGCGACUUUCUGGACGAAACUGACGCUGAGGCGCGAAAGCGUGGGNAGCAAACAGGAUUAGAUACCCUGGUAGUCCACGCCGUAAACGAUGGA